ACGGAUCGAUGUUUUUUCUGUUUAAUUACAUAUAUAUUUCAGGUGAUGAAAAAGAAUUCUUAUGGUAGUGUCAGGAUGGCCGUGUGUUCGUUAGCUGAAGCGGCUGCAAAGAAGAUUAACAUUCCCCAAAGCUGUAAGGGACCGGUCUUAGGUCAUCGCGUUCGUCUUUUACUUAUGAGUACGUCCGCAUUACGCGAUGUUAAAUCCUGAUUUAAUGUAUGUGUUCCUAGUGUACUUACGUCGAUUAUUACCCGUGCUUCAGUGCGAUUAAGAGUUUUGUGCAACGUAAAAGGUGCGACAUAAAAUUUUGUUCUUCUGCUUGUGUGGCUUUAUUUCAAGCACGUAAUGAAGAAAUCACCGUUUACACCAGCCGACGCCGACGCUAUGAUCAGCUAUCGAGAAGGAUAUGACAUGGAUAAGGCUGCCCUCAUCAUCAGUCCUCGUCUCCAGUAGCCGUUGAAGAGUAACCUACUGCUGAUCUACGGAAUCUCAUAGCCGUUAAAAGCACAGAAUUUGCCUUUUUUCACAUUAGCUCGUGUUUUGCUGUUCUCAUGGUGUAGACCAGGUAUAAAAAUAAAUAAACGAAUUCAUAGACUAUAUUCGACCUAGUCUCGUGUGAUUAGUACAGUAUUAAAACUUUUAAAUCAAAAAACAAAAUCUUAUCGCUACCGAAAAUAAGAGAAACCGCCAACGAGCGUAUUUAGCGAAAACUCUUACGAAAAAAACAGAUUUUGAAAUUUGAUAACAAACAUUUACGUGUUUCAUCAUAUAAAACGCAUAGGUACGUUGCUGCGUGCCUACAACACACACACAGUGAUUACAGUAAUUUCUGUUUCUGCAUCGGGCAAAUGCCAACUAGCAAUCCAUAAAAACUGAAAGCAUGUAACUCAUUCUGUAAUGUAAGCGUAUUAUUAAAGUAGAUCUAUAUCAGAAUUCCGGAAGUAAAAGCGUGUUUUGUAAUGGCUGCUCGGCACUUCCGUUUUUAGGUGGGCGGUACUGUUUACACGUGUACGUACAACCCCUAAAUCGGUUUCCAGUAUAUUGUAAGAGUACUUGCAUGUCAUGUUUGGGUUACAUGCAAUAUAUUUCUUGUGUGACAUCAAUCGUGUGUCUACACUACCUACGUGUAGCUAACAAGUAAAAAUAGUGUACUCGUCCUUCACUUGACAUUAGCAUUUUUAUGUAAAUUUUUUUCUAGUUUUGACAAUUACCGAUCAAGUUGGGGGCGAGAAACGUACAUCUUUCAAAUAAUAAAGUUGUUUCAAAGCUGGACUGGGAUUAGACUGACAACUUCCGUUUACGGUUGAAAUUUUAAUUACAAUAUCUAAUCUAUCUCUAAUCUUAAUCCAGUAGAAUUUUUUAAUCAUACGCUUAAUAGCAUUUUAAGUGAAUUCAUUCAUUUGUCUACAUGAGGUAGUCGUGUUUACAUUUUGUAACUUGGAGUCGGUUAAGUCAGGUACAGAAAUUCGGUUAAUGUGAAAUAAAUAUGGUAAUUACUUUAUGCUAUUACAUAGGGUGAUUUCUGUUUCUUUAGGAUUUUCUUACUGUGAACUUAAAAAUAAAAUGAAUGAUAUUUUUAUUACCAAUUA